GACGAACGCUGGCGGCGUGCCUAAUACAUGCAAGUAGAACGCUGAAGGAGGAGCUUGCUUCUCUGGAUGAGUUGCGAACGGGUGAGUAACGCGUAGGUAACCUGCCUGGUAGCGGGGGAUAACUAUUGGAAACGAUAGCUAAUACCGCAUAAGAGUAGAUGUUGCAUGACAUUUGCUUAAAAGGUGCAAUUGCAUCACUACCAGAUGGACCUGCGUUGUAUUAGCUAGUUGGUGGGGUAACGGCUUACCAAGGCGACGAUACAUAGCCGACCUGAGAGGGUGAUCGGCCACACUGGGACGGAGACACGGCCCAGACGCCUACGGGAGGCAGCAGUAGGGAAUCGUCGGCAAUGGACGGAAGUCUGACCGAGCAACGCCGAGUGAGUGAAGAAGGUUGUCGGAUCGGAAAGCUCUGUUGUAAGAGAAGAACGAGUGUGAGAGUGGAAAGUUCACACUGUGACGGUAUCUUACCAGAAAGGGACGGCUAACUACGUG
rnacentral:rRNA from 1 species